UGGGGAAUAUUGCACAAUGGGCGCAAGCCUGAUGCAGCCAUGCCGCGUGUAUGAAGAAGGCCUUCGGGUUGUAAAGUACUUUCAGCGAGGAGGAAGGCGUUGUGGUUAAUAACCGCAACGAUUGACGUUACUCGCAGAAGAAGCACCGGCUAACUCCGUGCCAGCAGCCGCGGUAAUACGGAGGGUGCAAGCGUUAAUCGUAAUUACUGGGCGUAAAGCGCACGCAGGCGGUCUGUCAAGUCGGAUGUGAAAUCCCCGGGCUCAACCUGGGAACUGCAUCCGAAACUGGCAGGCUAGAGUCUUGUAGAGGGGGGUAGAAUUCCAGGUGUAGCGGUGAAAUGCGUAGAGAUCUGGAGGAAUACCGGUGGCGAAGGCGGCCCCCUGGACAAAGACUGACGCUCAGGUGCGAAAGCGUGGGGAGCAAACA
rnacentral:rRNA from 1 species